UUUGCAUUCUGGGUUACGUAGUCUCUGGUUGUUCGUUUGUGUAAUCUGUUCUGACUAAAGGCCAGAGGACAGGGUAGACGCUGGCGGGUCACGUGACUCGAGUCUAGCGCUUACUGAGAUCGCAUUGCGGCUCCCGCCCCGGCGAGUUCUCGCCCCCGCGCGGCCGUUUCCGAGGUGACGGCGCAUGUCUCGCCUCGCGUUGCCCCCUCUGCAGUCCCCCCGCCCCGCUUCUCCCACCACAAUGAGGUCCUAAGAUGGCGGUGGCUGCGGCGGUUGGCGCCGAGUACCUAAAGUAGAAAGGCGGCCAUUGGGCUCUAGGCAGUCAGGGAACUUGUGGACCUCCCUGCUGUGGUCUCUAAGGGAGGAACGCUGCCAGUGGCGGGUCGUGGGGGCUGACCGCCGCUGCACCCUUGGCAGGAGCGGCUGCUUCGUUUACAGGUAAAGCCUCCGCGUUCCCGGUCCCUGGCAACCGAGGACUGCGCGCCGCAGGGGCGGGAGAGCAACGGCUCUGGGACGCUUGACCCUGUUGGGCCCGACCUGGGACCCACGCCUCCUCGGUGUCUCCUGAGACUUUUUGCUGCCUCUUUUUCGUCCCCUAGGCAGACAGUCCGCCCCUCCCCCGGACCGAUCGCCGCGAUCUCCGAGACAACAACUUUAAAGUGUGAAGCAGAAAAGGAGCUGUUUCUGAGCUGCAAAACUUGUUUCUAAAUAGGUAAUUUGACAUUAUAUUAUUUUCCUUUGUAUUAUAGCUGAACACUUUAUGAUG
rnacentral:lncRNA from 1 species